GACGAACGCUGGCGGCGCGCCUAACACAUGCAAGUCGAACGAGCGAGAGAGAGCUUGCUUUCUCGAGCGAGUGGCGAACGGGUGAGUAACGCGUGAGGAACCUGCCUCAAAGAGGGGGACAACAGUUGGAAACGACUGCUAAUACCGCAUAAGCCCACGACCCGGCAUCGGGUUGAGGGAAAGGGAGCAAUCCGCUUUGAGAUGGCCUCGCGUCCGAUUAGCUAGUUGGUGAGGUAACGGCCCACCAAGGCAACGAUCGGUAGCCGGACUGAGAGGUUGAACGGCCACAUUGGGACUGAGACACGGCCCAGACUCCUACGGGAGGCAGCAGUGGGGAAUAUUGCACAAUGGGGGAAACCCUGAUGCAGCGACGCCGCGUGGAGGAAGAAGGUCUUCGGAUUGUAAACUCCUGUUGUUGAGGAAGAUAAUGACGGUACUCAACAAGGAAGUGACGGCUAACUACGUGCCAGCAGCCGCGGUAAAACGUAGGUCACAAGCGUUGUCCGGAAUUACUGGGUGUAAAGGGAGCGCAGGCGGGAAGACAAGUUGGAAGUGAAGUCUAUGGGCUCAACCCAUAAACUGCUUUCAAAACUGUUUUUCUUGAGUAGUGCAGAGGUAGGCGGAAUUCCCGGUGUAGCGGUGGAAUGCGUAGAUAUCGGGAGGAACACCAGUGGCGAAGGCGGCCUACUGGGCACCAACUGACGCUGAGGCUCGAAAGUGUGGGUAGCAAACAGG
rnacentral:rRNA from 1 species